CGAUGGACAACAGGUUGAAAUUCCUGUACCGUGUAUCAUCAGAACUGUGGGGACACAGAAGGACAGCACAUCCCGGGAAUGGGAAUACCGGGGCAAGCGUGGUAGGAGUACGGCUGGCAAAACCGCCGUGCAAUCCGAAUACGUGACGCGGAGCGAACAAAAGUAGCGAAGUGUGUGAUUCCGGCUGUCAAGAAAAGCCGCUAUUGUGUGAUACAUGCCCGUACCGUAAACCGACACAGGUAGAUGAGGAGAGAAUCCUAAGGCCGGCGGGAGAAGCAUUGUUAAGGAACUCGGCAAAAUGACCCCGUAACUUCGGGAGAAGGGGUGCCGCAGAGAUGUGGCCGCAGAGAAUAGGCUCAAGCAACUGUUUAGCAAAAACACAGGUCUAUGCAAAACCGUAAGGUGAGGUAUAUGGGCUGACGCCUGCCCGGUGCUGGAAGGUUAAGAGGAGAGGUUAGCGCAAGCGAAGCUUUGAAUUUAAGCCCCAGUAAACGGCGGCCGUAACUAUAACGGUCCUAAGGUAGCGAAAUUCCUUGUCGGGUAAGUUCCGACCCGCACGAAAGGCGUAAUGAUUUGAGCGCUGUCUCAACAAUGCACCCGGUGAAAUUGAAAUACCAGUGAAGAUGCUGGUUACCUGCGCCAGGACGGAAAGACCCCAUGGAGCUUUACUCCAGUUUGAUACUGGGAUUCGGUAUUGCAUGUACAGGAUAGGUGGGAGGCUGAGAAGCAUGGACGCCAGUCUGUGUGGAGCCAAUGUUGGGAUACCACCCUUGCGAUAUUGGGUUUCUAACCUGCGCCCGUGAGCCGGGCGGGGGACAAUGUCAGGCGGGGAGUUUGACUGGGGCGGUCGCCUCCGAAAGGGUAUCGGAGGCGCUCAAAGGUUCCCUCAGGAUGGUUGGAAACCAUCCAGAGAGUGCAAAGGCAUAAGGGAGCUUGACUGCGAGACCGACGGGUCGGGCAGGUACGAAAGUAGGACUUAGUGAUCCGGUGGUAUGAAAGUGGGAUUGCCAUCGCUCAACGGAUAAAAGCUACCCUGGGGAUAACAGGCUUAUCACUCCCAAGAGUUCACAUCGACGGAGUGGUUUGGCACCUCGAUGUCGGCUCAUCGCAUCCUGGGGCUGUAGCAGGUCCCAAGGGUUGGGCUGUUCGCCCAUUAAAGCGGUACGCGAGCUGGGUUCAGAACGUCGUGAGACAGUUCGGUCCCUAUCCGGCGCGGGCGCAGGAUAUCUGAGAGGAGCUGUCCUUAGUACGAGAGGACCGGGAUGGACAGACCGCUGGUGUACCUGUUGGCCUACCAAGGCCAUGGCAGGGUAGCCAAGUCUGGACGGGAUAAACGCUGAAGGCAUCUAAGCGUGAAGCCCCCCUCAAGAUGAGAUAUCCCAUCGCGAAAGCGAGUAAGACCCCUUGAAGACGACGAGGUAGAUAGGUUAGAGGUGGAAGUGCAGUAAUGUACGUAGCUGACUAAUACUAAUCGGUCGAGGGCUUAUCC
rnacentral:rRNA from 2 species